GUGUCGUUCGGCACGUCUCGUAGAGUAGUUGCUCGUGCUACGAGACGACGCUGGCGGCGUGCUUAACACAUGCAAGUCGAACGGAAAGGCCUGCUUUUGUGGGGUGCUCGAGUGGCGAACGGGUGAGUAACACGUGAGUAACCUGCCCUUGACUUUGGGAUAACUUCAGGAAACUGGGGCUAAUACCGGAUAGGAGCUCCUGCUGCAUGGUGGGGGUUGGAAAGUUUCGGCGGUUGGGGAUGGACUCGCGGCUUAUCAGCUUGUUGGUGGGGUAGUGGCUUACCAAGGCUUUGACGGGUAGCCGGCCUGAGAGGGUGACCGGCCACAUUGGGACUGAGAUACGGCCCAGACUCCUACGGGAGGCAGCAGUGGGGCAUAUUGCACAAUGGGCGGAAGCCUGAUGCAGCAACGCCGCGUGCGGGAUGACGGCCUUCGGGUUGUAAACCGCUUUCGCCUGUGACGAAGCGUGAGUGACGGUAAUGGGUAAAGAAGCACCGGCUAACUACGUG
rnacentral:rRNA from 1 species